CCUACGGGAGGCAGCAGUGAGGAAUAUUGGUCAAUGGCCGGAAGGCUGAACCAGCCAAGCCGCGUGAAGGACGAAGGUGCCAAGCAUUGUAAACUUCUUUUGUCAAGGGACAAAAUCAGGCUCGAGCGCCUGACCGCGGGUACUUGAAGAAAAAGCAUCGGCUCACUCCGUGCCAGCAGCCGCGGUAAUACGGAGGAUGCGAGGGUUAUCCGGAUUUAUUGGGUUUCAAGGGUGGGUAGGCGGACUGUUCAGGCCGCGGUAAAAGCCCGGGGCUCAACCCCGGCGAGCAGUUGAACCUGGCUGUCUUGAGAAGUCGAGAGGUAUGCGGAAUGCGCAGUGUAGCGGUGAAAUGCUUAGAUAUUGCGCAGAACUCCGAUUGCGAAGGCAGCAUACCGGCGGCGAUCUGACGCUGAGGCACGAAAGCGUGGGUAUCGAACAGGAUUAGAUACCCCUGUAGUC
rnacentral:rRNA from 1 species